rnacentral:lncRNA from 1 species
AAGUCAGAUUAUAGCAUCUGAAUAGGAGGUUUCACAGCAGAAGAUUCAAACUGAAAUCCACUGCUACUGACAAGAAAACAAUUCUAAACAGGGUCCCAAUUAGGAGACGCCCUGUAGCUAUAGGGCUGGAAGGCUACCCUGCAAAUUCUCAUCAGACGCCUAAUCAAUAUCACGCCUUAGGACUUGAACUGCUACUCCUAAAAUCAAUAUUACCUUUAUUUUAAGUCGCAGGAGGAACAAUGAGAUUAUCUUGUUCUUUACAAGUCUGUCAUGGAAAUUCUGGUUCAUGGUGUGUGUCAUCUGCUUUUGCCUGGGAGGGAUGCGUUUGUUGGGCUUGGAGACAGUCUGGCACCGCAAGCCAGAGACAGGAAAGGUGAAGGGCUAACCCGUUAGCUCAGAACAGCUGGGGCCUCAAAAUUCAUUACGACCUAAGCAAGAACCAGGAUGCAGGAGAGGAGUUCCCAGGCUUGGCCCCAUCGGCUCUAUGAUGCUGACUCUCAAAAUGUCCCUCUCCGGCCCUGACCUUCAGAUUCUCCCUACUGUGCAGCCUCACGGUCGCCCCGGUCGUGUGAAGGUCCAAGGGGGAGCUCCUGAUUUCACCCCAGAGGCUGCUUCUUCCUCCCUCUUCUGAUCUCCAUCCACGGUCACGAUCCAGUCCAUCAAGUGAAAAACGUGCAAUUUAUCCCUGACUCCUCUUUUCUCUCAAAACCCUUUCAAACCCUGUCAACGUGGCCUCAGGAGUAUCUUCUAAAUCCUUCCGCCUUCUCUCCACUUCCUUAAUGAGUACCUGGGCCCGGCUAUCUGCUUAGCUCUCCCCCUGAUUCUUCUCUGUGAUUCUACUCUGGCCCUCCAGUGUUCCCCACCCAGUGGCCAGGGUGAUCUCUACAAAAUGAUGAUCAGAUGCGGCCACCGCCCCCCCCAACACACACACACACACACACACACACUCCCUCUCUCUCUCCAUCUUCAAACCCUCCAGUGGUGGGUCGCCAUCAGGCUUGGCAUAAAACCCAAAUCUUUACCACAGUCAAGGGGCCCUAAUGGGAUCUGGCCUCAUUCCUUCCCCCUUUUGUCUCUUUCUCCUUAAGAUCUGGCCACUGAGCCUCUGUGUCCCUCCUAUGUGGCUCAGCCACGUCCCUGCGGCUGGAAUGAAUGCCCUCCUUAUCCUUCAGAUCUCAUAUCAAAAGCCAACCUCAGACCACUCUCCCCACAGCGGGCCCCUCCCCGCAGUUGCUGGACCAUACUGCUUACCUAGGAGCAAUGGUCUUAUUUAUUUAUCAUCUUAAAUAGUGUGUACUGCCUCUCUUCCUCUAAAAAUGUUAACUUCCUUCAGAGGAAGGACUUCGGUCUGUCACCCCUGACUCCCCAGAGUCAGCGCUGAGCAUAUAUGGUCAGAGAAUUGAAAAACAGAUAAACUUCUGACUUGCCCUAUAUGGGAUCAAACAUUGCUAACAUCUUGUAUUUGAAAAGAGCAAGAUGUUCAAAAAGAUGCAGCAAGAAAUAAAUUCUCAACGGUGCAUAUGUUUUCUAGCCUAGUUGUGAGCAGCAAAUAAUGACAGUGGAAGUUCAGGUGUCGUCUCAAACUACCAAUAUCACAUAUGCCUCUACAAAUUCCAUCUUAUCUUUUCCUAUCUGUCCAUCACAACACACACACACACACACACACACUCUUCUCACCAAUCUCACAUAGUUGUCCACAGGCCUGGAGUGCCCUUCUGGCUCACUGCUUCGCUCCCUCCAUCAGUCAAGAGCUUCUGGAAGUCUCACUUCCUCACUUUCUAGAUAAAACCUUUCUGGCUGAGCUGAAGAGGAAGGGAAAUGGAGCUAGUGUUUAUGGCGUAGCUCCCACGUACUGAGUGCUAUGCUGAAUGCUUAGAAGCUUUUUUUUUACUGAUAUGUACAUUAUCUUUAGUCCCAUGUUUGGAGAUGAAAAAACUAAGUCAAACAAGUGAUAAAGCAGGAUUUAAACCCACAUCAUUCAGACUCUAAAAUCCCAAUUCCUGACAAGUCACUUUAGCAACAAAAAUAAUAAAUAUGGUGAUAUUAGCUCACUUCUACUGUUUCAAAUUCGGGGAUUAAUACGUGCUUUCGCAAAGAGGUCCACACCGCAUUUCACUGAUAAUGGAUCCUUAAACUACAAACUUUUUGGUAUGACAUGGAUUCCUGCAUUAUAAACAGUAAACUCCUCUACAAGUUGCCUUCCUAAUAAUCUAUGGACAAAAUACUACAGUUGCAAAGGAAAGCCUCACCAAACUUCCCUCUAACUUUAUUGCCUUGACUUUACAAGUGACAGAAAUGUGUCCAUUUUGGACAAUGUGACCUUGGGGACAGAUAAUUUUGUUUAGCGUAACUCACAUCAAACAUCCAGGGAGCUCAUGACAGGUACCAAAGCCAGGUGAUCCCCUUGAAAGGCCAGUGUCUGUGGUCAAUCUGAGCUUCCUUAUUAAUAGGUGAUUUGAUUCUACUACUGCGAAAAACCAAAACCACUGUAUUACAAUAACUCCCAAAUACAAUCUGAGGUGAGGGUGGUUUUUUUUAACAUACGAAUAAAAUUAAAGGUAAUACAUCCAGUUACUUCUUGUCAACAUUUAUUCAUCAUCAACAAUAAAUAUUUUCAAUAAUACUGCAGAAUACUGUAAAAUCUAAAAAGAUUUAUCACUAUAAGAAAAAUCGACAUACAAAAUGCUGGCAGAGAGGCAAAACAAAAUAGGCUGGCAUGUUCAUUUUUAGCUCUUUACUACCCUGGAAGUUGUCUGAAAUUCUCUAAAUACAUCAGGUCAGAUAAUUAUCUUCCAAAUCUUUCCCAAGUAAUCAGACACUUUUUCCACUAUAUUAAUUUUCGCUGUGGAUCGUUAUUAAAUAAAUACAACACAAGCCAAUUUAAAAUAGCAUUGCAUUAAAAAAUAGACAACGCACAUAUUUUGUUUGAAAAUAAGAACAUAUGAGGCUAUUUAAUUCUGUGCUCUUCAAGUCUCUGUUUUACAGACCAUAAAAUGAGGGGUUUUAAGGCAUGUUAAAUCAUGAGGUAUCGAUUAAAUGAAAACCUUCAAUGUGUGGGAGCAAGAAGCCAUGACUUUUCAGUCUCUUUUAAGGGCCGGUUAAAACUUGGCUCUUUGUAAGGUUACUGUCUACAAAAGGAGUCUUUGCUUUUGUGAAAAGCUACUGCAAACAACAAAAUAUUGCCAAAUCCAUACUCUUCUUUCCCUUCUCUAUUUUCUUUCUCCUUUCUUCCUUUCUUUCUCCUUCUUUUCUUUCUGUUUUGCUUUUAAGAUCAUGGAGUGGUGAGUUGUAGGGCAUCAGGUUCAACCC